UACGAAGGGGACUAGCGUUGUUCGGAAUUACUGGGCGUAAAGCGCACGUAGGCGGAUUUGUAAGUCAGGGGUGAAAUCCCGGGGCUCAACCUCGGAACUGCCUUUGAUACUGCAAAUCUCGAGUCCGAUAGAGGUGGGUGGAAUUCCUAGUGUAGAGGUGAAAUUCGUAGAUAUUAGGAAGAACACCGGUGGCGAAGGCGGCCCACUGGAUCGGUACUGACGCUGAGGUGCGAAAGCG
rnacentral:rRNA from 1 species